GUUACUGACCUCUAUCACAGACAUUGAGCUGUUGACCACUACUCUCUGGAUGCAACCAUUCAGCCAAUUCCUUAUCCAAAAGAAGGGUGCCAGGUGUGGCUUUCUACAUCAUGCUACCCAGCAAUGCCAGAACAUUUCCACAAAAAAAAAAAAAAA